CACGUAGGGCGCAAGCGUUGUCCGGAAUUAUUGGGCGUAAAGGGCUCGUAGGCGGUUUGUCGCGUCGGGAGUGAAAACCUACAGCUUAACUGUGGGCUUGCUUUCGAUACGGGCAGACUAGAGGUAUGCAGGGGAGAACGGAAUUCCUGGUGUAGCGGUGAAAUGCGCAGAUAUCAGGAGGAACACCGGUGGCGAAGGCGGUUCUCUGGGCAUGAUCUGACGCUGAGGAGCGAAAGUGUGGGGAGCGAACAGG
rnacentral:rRNA from 1 species